ensembl:lncRNA
CACGCUACACUGUUCGUGGUGAUGCAGGAUAUCAGAUGGACUGACCGACUGACCUAUGCAUCCUCGCUGGCCAAGGAGAGAUCAGGGACUUCAUCCAGACCAAACGUCUCUUUAUAAAGUCUCUCUGUGGAGUCCUCAUCUCCAGUCCUCCUAUCAUUGGUAUUCUGUGGGAGAGCUGCUCGACCGCUGGGAGGAUAUGGUGGGCUGUGUACGAUACGCUGUGCGUUCACUGCUGAUGAGUUGAUGAUGGUCACAGAGUUAAACAGAGUAUGAAAACACCAUCUCCCCUGGACGGACGUGACGGCCAUCUUAACUUGUCCAGCACAGCACAGCAACCAGUGAUCCGGGUCAACAGCAUCAAUGUAACAGUAUAGCUUCCGUCCCUCUCCUCGCCCUUACCUGGGCUCUAACCAGGGACCCUCUGCACACAUUGACAACAGCCACCCUCGAAGCAUCGUUAUCCAUCGCUCCACAAAAGCAGAGCAAGGGGAACACCUACUUCAAGGUCUCAGAGCGAGUGAC